UACGAAGGGGGCUAGCGUUGCUCGGAAUCACUGGGCGUAAAGGGUGCGUAGGCGGGUCUUUAAGUCAGGGGUGAAAUCCUGGAGCUCAACUCCAGAACUGCCUUUGAUACUGAGGAUCUUGAGUCCGGGAGAGGUGAGUGGAACUGCGGGUGUAGAGGUGAAAUUCGUAGAUAUUCGCAAGAACACCAGUGGCGAAGGCGGCUCACUGGCCCGGUACUGACGCUGAGGCACGAAAGCGUGGGGAGCAAACAGG
rnacentral:rRNA from 1 species